rnacentral:tRNA from 1 species
UCCUCAUUAGUAUAGUGGUGAGUAUCCCCGCUUGUUGCACGGGAGACUGGGGUUUGAGUCCCCGACGGGCAG